AAUGAACGCUGGCGGCGUGCCUAACACAUGCAAGUCGAACGGACACACAAUGAGCUCUUGCUCCUACGGUUGGCGACUGACGGGCGAGUAAGGCAUAGAUCGCCUUCCUCUUUUUCUUGGAGGAUAUCGUGAAACAGGAGCUACUAAUGCCUCAUACAUUCUACUGCUGAGAGCAAUGGAGCUACGGACCUUUCGCGUCUCUAUGAGCUGAUUCCGGAUUAGCUAGUUGGCGUGGUAAAGUCCUACCAAGCCGACGCUACGUAGCCGAUCUGAGAGGGUGAUCAGCCACACUGGAACUGAGACACGGUCCAGACUCCUACGGGAGGCAGCAGUGGGGAAUAUUGGACAAUGGGCGGAAGCCUGACCGAGCAAUACCGCGUGGGUGAAGAAGGUCUUCGGGUUGUAAAGCUCUUUUGUUGGGAAAGAAAAGAAGUAGAUUAAUACCGGGACGUCUUGACGGUACCCAAUGAGUAAGCACCGGCUAACUACGUG
rnacentral:rRNA from 1 species